AUGCUUGCUUCCACAGCACAUAUAACUAAAAUUGGAAUGAUACAGAGAUUAGCAUGACCCCCACGCAAGGAUGAUAAGCAAAUUCUUAAGCAGUGCAUAUUUUGG
ensembl:snRNA U6 U6 spliceosomal RNA